GCCAGGUGCAGCUGCGGGACGCACGGCUCAGUGUCAGGGUGUGGGCGCGCCCGGCCCGUAGCCCCCGCCCCGGAUGCCGCCCACGCCCACUCACCACGGGACGGAAGUCCAGGUCCCUCCUCAUGCAUGCAUCAGUCCUCAGCGGGGAGUAGGCCCGAGGACAAGGCACGCCCCGGGCCUUCCGGAGUCUCCAUGGCACUGCAAGUGCCACCAGAGGAGGCCAGGGGGCGUGAAGGUAAGUAAGGGGCGCCACAGCCUGCCCGGGCUCGGGAGGGCGUCUGGAGAGGAGACUUACCGUCCCUCGGGGCAGUGGCGUCCGCGCCUCCAGCUAGGAAAGAACCUAGCGUCACCCCAGGCACCUGGGACCUGCAGGCUCUGCUGCCGACCACUCUCCGCCUUCCCACCCUGGGCGUCAGUGCCACAACCCAAGCCCCGCCCACACUGAAACCCACCCUUCCCAGCUCUGCUCAAACCACGCCCCCUUCCAAAGCCCCGCCCCACGCUAAAACCCGCCCCUUUCCAGCUAGCAAAUCACGCCCCUUCCCAAAAGCCCCGCCCACACUGAAACCCGCCCCUUCCUAGCUCUGCCCCCACAAACCACGCCCCUCCUAGGCCCCGGGCCCGCCCACGCAAGACCCCACCCACCCAGUGGAGGGGCUGAGCUAGAACCUUCCUUUAUUUCUGUUUACUUCGUAAGGGUUGACUCCUGGCUCCGCACUCAGGGAUCACAUCUGGCGGUGCUCAGGGGGACCAUAUGAGAUGCCCAGGGAUGGAACCCAGGUCGGCCGCGUACGAGACAACUCACCAGGACCUUCCUGAAGCCACGCCGCACACGCACAUACAGCUCUUCCCGAUCAGCCACGUAGAGCAGCCAGCCCUCAGGCACCUCGGGUGCCGUGUCCAGCAUUGCCUGAGAGCCCGGCAAGCUACCAAGAGUAUGGAGCCCGCACAGCAGAGCCUGGCAAGCUACCCAUGCGUAUUGGAUAUGCCAAAAACAGUAACAAUGAGUCUCUCAAUGAGAGACGUUACUGGUGCCCGCUCAAACAAAUCGAUGAGCAACGGAGUGACAGUGACAGUGACACUUAGAAGUGUGUGAAGAUUGCUGUAUCUCACCCUGGAGCAAUAAACCCUUACAUAAGAGAUUACUAACCUGC